AAGCGGUUUGUUCAGGACGGUGCACUCUCAGGAUGGGGGACGGGGCGGGCCCAGGGGGGCAGGGCUGUCUUUCAUGGCUCACAGCCAGGGUGGUCUCCCACUGAGGUGGCUUCUUGUCGGUUGGGAGGGGGAGUUGGGGCCCUACUAGGUCCUGGCUGGAACCAUCAAGGCCCGUCCUCCCCCCUGAGGCGUGAGUGGGGACGGGGAGAGGUCCAGACGGCAAUGUCAAUAUAUUGUAAUGAAACUAAGGGCUAGGCGAGGCUGGGAAGCAGGGCGCACGUUCAUCACCUGUUCCUCUUGGGUGGCUAGCCCCCCUCCCCCCGCCCCGGAGGUUGGAAACCACAAAAUCACUCCUACUGCCACCUUGCCCCCAGCUCCUCUCUAGCUAACUUCCAACUCUCAAUACCGGCAUAGUUUUGGUACUUGGCUCCCUGCAAAAAAAAAAAACACAGAGAUCUCAAAGCGUGUUAAGUGAGUGUGCAAAUGUGGGCGGCAGAGUGCUUCUAUCCCCUCUGGCCUGCUGAGGUGGGGUAGGACAGACGCUGCUGCCUUCUGUUGACCCCAGGGCCGGUGACGCCUUCUUUGGGCCCUGUCCCCGCGGGGGUUGGGGGAGCCCCUCUUCUCUGGCAACCACAGCCGGGGCUGAGUGUGCUCUGCCCUGUCCCUGUGGGGUGGGCCCCUGGGGGGGCCUGCUGACCCCUCUCUUGGGUCUCCUGUCACCACCCAGGGGAGUUGGAGCACAGCGGGGACCCAUCAGGGAUGGCAGCUGGCGUGUGGGCCCGGGAGCCCUGCUGUCUGGGCCUGGACCCUGCCUCCUCUACCUCUGGCCACGAGGGCCAGCUCCCUUCAACCCUCUGUGCCCCCGUUUGCUUUCGUACUGACUCUGGCAGACAAUAGUUCCUACUUCCAAUGGCCACAGGGGGGCCAAAUGACGUGACGUGGCUGGCACUCUGCCGGCCCGUGUCAAGAGCCGUGUCUGGGUCAGCGGUUACUCUUUUUUUUUUUUUUUAACUUUUUUUUAAUUAACGUUUAUUUAUUUUUGAGACAGAGAGAGACAGAGCAUGAACGGGGGAGAUACAGAAUCCGAAACAGGCUCCAGGCUCUGGGCUGUCAGCACGGAGCCCAAUGCGGGGCUCAAACCCACAGACUGGGAGAUCAUGACCUGAGCCGAAGUCGGACGCUCAACCGACUGAGCCACCCAGGCGCCCCGGCGGUUACUCUCUUUUACGCUGGUCCUGAGUGCCGCUGUAUCGCAGAUAUUGCCUCUGCUCCCAACACUCAUGCAUGGGGGGCAGGGAUACCCCUUUUCCCGAGGAGCAAACAGCCCAGAGAGGUUGUCCCGUCCACAAAGCUAGGAUGCCCUGAGGUUCAGAGCCUGUGCUCCUGGGCCCGAGGCCCCUGCGGUGCUCCGUUGGGCACCGAUGCCUCCAAGAGGCUGAAGCGGGGCCUGGAAAGCUGCAGGAGAGCUGAGGAGAAGACUUGCAUUGUUCCUCUGCUUCUGGAAGCCGGAAGUGUCAUCAUGCCUGAGGUGCAAGCUCCCGGGGAUGAUGGAAACCAGUAACUGGAUCGCCUGCCUCUGGGUCAGGAUACAGACCCUGCCGGGGAAGGUCCCUGCCCGCCUCUCCAUCACGGCCUCUGCAGGACUGCCGGUCAAGGGCAAAGCCAAAUCUUAAACGUCCCCUCCACAAACGUCAGUGAAAAGCCUCAGCCGCGGGAGGCGGCCCUCACCUGUUCCACCUGCCGGAGACACGGUGGGUUUCCACUGUUACACUGUUGUGAGGCUGGAGCGUCCGUGCCCAUGUGCGUGUUUACGGACGUGUACAGAUGAGUGUUCCCUGUGUGCGACGUCUGUCUCCCCCGAGGGUACUGCGGAAAGUAAUUUGUAAAAGGGCUCUGUUCAAUCGCCUUACAGAAAAAUACGCUUUCGUAUCAAUGAUGUACCUAGGAAAAAUCGAAAAUUGUCUUUCGUCUGGUGAAAGGACAAAGGUUUCUUGGGUGAUUGGUCUCUCUUGAUGGAAUUAUGAAAGGUUUUCCUUUACCUUUUAGGUCAUCUACCUAGAAGACAAAGAUUCUGUGUUUUAUUAAAAUACUUGCCUGCGUCCGCUGUU